AGUGUGCUACUCCUUGAGCAGAUGAAGAAACUGACGCGGGGGUGGGGUCCUACAAAGAACCCAGACCCCAUAGGGGAAACAUAUCCGUUGCCGGUCAGAGCUCCGAGAAUAUUUGCAGCGAGAAAACUAGGGAACUAACGCUGUUGUCAUAGCUGAAUCAAACUUAGAAUACGGAAAUCCAGACAGAAAGCGAAGAACGACCGCGAACUUAACAGCAUCGAGUCACCAGCAGCUGCUAGGACCUUAGCUGCCUUCCUGCGGACCUGAACCCCGUGCUAGUCCGCCCCCGCAAGGUCUGAUUAUUUAUUUGUCAUUCUUAAAGACUAUUUUUGACUGGACUCAGAAGUAGAAACUCUCAGCGAGAACAGCGCACGCCACUUGGCGGUCUGUUCCUGGAGUUUUUCUUUGGCUUCCUUCAUUUUCUUGGCCAAAAGUUUAGCAUGUUCUACAGCCUCCUCCUCGUUUCCCCAGUGCCCGUGCGUACGAAGCACCUCGGGGAGUUUCGGACAGCCGAUGGCCGCGAUUUCCCUGUUCUGGAUUUUUCAGCUUCCUCCUGACACGGCCUGGAAUUCACUUCUAGCUUUCUUUCAAAUCGAGGCAGCUCUCCCGCCUCGGCCUUCCGAAUACUAAGAUUACAGGCACGCGCCACCACGCCAGGCUCAAAAAUGUCUUUAUAAAUCGUUGCUAAGUACAGUAACGCAUGGAGUGAACAAGACUGAAGUUUUUCUCAAAAACAAAACAAACAAAAGAGCCACCACCUCUGCAUCUUGGUUUAAGUUCGGACAAUAUCACGGACUUACAUGAAAAUACUACUUUGUAUCUGGCAACCUGGUGGCCAGAGUAACACCGCUUUGCAGAUUCCCCUAAAACCUCACUCAAAAAGGUGUGGAGCAGAGGCAGGAGGCUGGAAGCAUUUCCAGAGAGACCCGGACUCUUCAAGCCAGUAAAUAGCUGGGUGAAGUGGCGCUUGCCCACCUGUAACCCCAGCAUUUGGGAAGUGGAGACAGGGGGAUCAAGAGUUCAAGGUGGAGCAGUCGAGUUCGAGGUCACCUGGUUUUUACCCUCCCUUUCAGCAAGACUCCUACUGUCACGGAAGGCAGGUUUCCCUACGUCCCUGCGUGCAAUCUGUUUAAACACCCCGGGUAUUUAUGCGGUGAAUCCUCUCCCACCACCACGUCGUGCACUCCAAAGGGCCGCAGCCAAGCCGACCUCAGCAAACGCUGCGAGUUCGAGCCCACUUUCCCAAGGGAUGGGUCAGAACCCGCUUAGUGCCCAGGCUCACCCGGCUACCCGACGCCAGGACGCGGCCAGGCACAAUGACUAAGAGGGAACGCUAGGGGGCACCCGAGACCCACGGAACUCAGAAACCAGGCGGCUAAGAGUACAGAAAAUUAAGUUUUCUUAAGGGAGUGGAUGUGUCUUUAUACACAGCAUUUUAAAUA
rnacentral:lncRNA from 1 species